UACCGUCCUCUUCCCUUUCUGUAAAAAUGCCUCUUUUUAUUAAGCGGGACCAAAUAUUUGCGCAUCAGAGUAAAGAAGAACGACAAGUGGAGCUGGAGACAUUUAAGCUGCUUCAUUUAAGACUUGCUGAGGACGCAUGGACCACACAAUUCCUAAGAUGCUGUAUUUGAGGACGUCAAGCAGCUACUUGCAUCUUUGCUGGGUUGUUAUAAUGUGUGUAUCAUAGCAUACGGACAGACAGGUAGUGAGAAGACUCACACCAUGACGGGAUCCCAGCUGCUGGAAGAGCAGUCAGGCAUGCAGCAGAAGGCACAGCAGGGUAUUAUGGGAGGUGUCCUGUAUAAAGCAGCCUCUCUGCUCUGGCUGAGCACAGACCACAUGUGUCCCACAGGAACAGCAAAGUCACUCAUCUACUUCAGGAUGCCAUAGGCGGUGAUGCUAAGCUGCCGGUGAUGCUGUGUCUCUCUCCCACACAGCCCUUCAUUACUGAGUCUGCAGACUCUGGGAUUCGGCAAGGCGGGCCUGUCAGGUUCAGAAGGAGCUCCCCCGAAGGAAGAGUAAGUGACAGGACAGAGAGUGAUUUCACUCUUUGCAAUGUCGAUCCUUUCACAGUCAUACCAUCACAACAGAUUUGAGGGGAUAAAAUGCAUACCAACAAAUUUGUUGUGUUUGCUUUACAGAGUAUUUACCAUAUGAUUGUAUCUGUGAAGCCUAAAAAAAAAAAAGACAAACAGCAUGACAAUAGCUUACUGCAGAUAUGAAACAGCUUAAUUUAUCAUUGGGUUGCAUGGUGCUGCUUGCUCCUUUGUAAAAACUCCUCAACUUUAUGACAACUAGUUGCUUUUCUACAGAUUCAUAGGUUUUCAUAAUGACUUUAAUUAGGAAACAUGCUAAUUUUACUAGCAUUGCUAAUAUAUUCUUGUUUUUAAAUACAGUGUAGAUAUUAGUAGCACUGAAUGUCGUACUAGGUUUCCUGAAACUGCAGAUACAUGAAGUGAAAUUAAACCUGACAAUUACCAAGACUGCUGGGUAGCUAUAAAUGACAUUACAGUUGGAUUUUAAUUAACAUGUAAUAAAAUAAUUCCUAUUAAAAUACUGUAUUUAAUACUUCACUUUCUACUUUAUUAAAUUCUUUUAAAUUUAUGCCUGUAUUAAGAUGUAGCUCAUGCCAGUAGUGAAUAGCACUAUAUUACAAAGCAACAACUUUUGAUUAUUCUAUUCUACUGUCUUUUGGUUUCAGUUCUCACUGCUCAUGCGCUGACUUUUAUUUUUUUUCGUGUUGAUGUAGCUGUAUUUGUCAGCGUCUUAUGUUACAAAUCUUUAAAAUGCCUUGAUAGAGUUGUUUUUGUAGGAAAUUGUGUCAAUACUAUACUACAAACAGAUACACAUAUGUGUAUUGGUGUAUUCAGUA